rnacentral:rRNA from 1 species
UACGUAGGUGGCGAGCGUUGUCCGGAUUUACUGGGCGUAAAGGGAGCGUAGGCGGACUUUUAAGUGAGAUGUGAAAUACUCGGGCUCAACUUGAGUGCUGCAUUUCAAACUGGAAGUCUAGAGUGCAGGAGAGGAGAAUGGAAUUCCUAGUGUAGCGGUGAAAUGCGUAGAGAUUAGGAAGAACACCAGUGGCGAAGGCGGUUCUCUGGACUGUAACUGACGCUGAGGCUCGAAAGCGUGGGGAGUAAACAGG